rnacentral:rRNA from 1 species
GCUUAACACAUGCAAGUCGAGGGGUAACAUUGUAGCUUGCUACAGAUGACGACCGGCGCACGGGUGCGUAACGCGUAUAGAAUCUACCUUUUACAGGGGGAUAGCCUUUAGAAAUGAAGAUUAAUAUCCCAUAGUAUUGAGAACUGGCAUCGGUUUUUAAUUAAAGAUUUAUCGGUAAAAGAUGACUAUGCGUCCUAUUAGCUAGAUGGUAAGGUAACGGCUUACCAUGGCGAUGAUAGGUAGGGGUCCUGAGAGGGAGAUCCCCCACACUGGUACUGAGACACGGACCAGACUCCUACGGGAGGCAGCAGUGAGGAAUAUUGGGCAAUGGAGGCAACUCUGACCCAGCCAUGCCGCGUGCAGGAAGACUGCCCUAUGGGUUGUAAACUGCUUUUAUACAGGAAGAAACACUGGUAUGUAUACCAGCUUSACGGUACUGUAAGAAUAAGGACCGGCUAACUCCGUGCCAGCAGCCGCGGUAAUACGGAGGGUCCAAGCGUUAUCCGGAAUCAUUGGGUUUAAAGGGUCCGCAGGCGGUCAAUUAAGUCAGAGGUGAAAUCCCAUAGCUUAACUAUGGAACUGCCUUUGAUACUGGUUGACUUGAGUCAUAUGGAAGUAGAUAGAAUGUGUAGUGUAGCGGUVAAAUGCAUAGAUAUUACACAGAAUACCGAUUGCGAAGG